rnacentral:lncRNA from 1 species
CCGAAACCUGGGUGGGGCUGUGCUACUGGCAGACAUGGACCUCCCCAAAGGCUAAUGUACAGGUCAGAGCUGCCAACUUUCUGCUACAGAAUCAAGCUGCCUAAGCCAUCCUUUCCGACUGUAAGCUGUGCCCAUCCAGCCAGGAAACAGGCUACAUAGUUGCUGGCAUGUCUCAAACUGAUAUAUCAGGUAAUUAAAAGUCUCUGUAAACAAUUCAUAAUCAGCUGAAAGAUUUUUGUUUUAAUCAUAUGCAUGGCUAAUAAGUACAUUAAAGUUUAAUCUGUUUCUUGCUGUUACAUAAGCAACGAAAGAGGUUACAUUAAAUGUAUUAUCAGUGAUUCUAAAUCCUGGAGUUCUCCAAAUCCUGCACUUUGUGAGGAGCUCCAUUUCACUUUACUUACCAGAUCCUAUUCUUUCCAGAUCUGAAAGAAACAUCACACACCAAAGUGAUUGUGAUUAUGCUCAUUUGGAAAACACUGAAGGGGUGUGCUAGAUUUUCUGAGUUUCACCUUCAUUCCCUGAAGCCUUGCUCCUGUUCUUAGAUAUAUUUUUUCCUCCUUUGGCUCACUCCCUCUCUCAGCUGGGACUUGUGGAGUUCCUGUAGAAAUUAGCCCGUGCUCCUGGUGCCAGUGACCUGCCCUUUCUCUCUAGAUUCCUUGUUGCUUUUGAUUUGAUUUUCUUUUCUUUUUAGUAAGUAAUAAGAUAAUAUGUGCAUGCUUUGGGACUUGCAAAAGCCUGAGGCCUCUCACAAUAUGCUUCUCUGCUCCUCUCGCUAACACACGGAGAUUAAAUGCUGGCUCUGUGUUUGUUACUCAUCUGAAGCCUUCAAUGCCACACUGACUUCCAUCUUAAUCUCACCUGUUUUAAGUGGGCUUUUGUUCUGCAAAACCUCUCUGACUUAAGCCCUUAAUUAUUUUGCUCCCAAAAGCUGCUCCAAUUCCCAUCAUACUUUUCGGAAGCUAAAACUGGGGCCGUUCAGAGGUUAAAGCUCAGAGCUCUGAAUUGUAUUGAAGACCCUAGCAAUCAACUCACAAAAGCAGCUGUGUUAGAGACAGAUGCCUCUGGGACUGUUUUUGGUACUAUAUAUGUGUACAGGCCUAUGCCUGUUACACUUUAAUUUUUUGUCUCACCUUCUCAUAGUAAGAAUUUAGAAUACCCU